UGGUGGAUUAUAGCCUGUGAAUUCAAACAUCAUCUCAAAUUUUUAAUUUUACAUCGCAUACCCACUUCAACAAAAGACUUUCUUCAUCAAUAAAUCCAAUGAACAAGCAAACAAAAUAUGCUUAAGAUUCACCAGCACAAUCAUUGUAAAUAGCAAAAAAAAAAAAAAAAAAGAAAACUUGCUUGCUGGCUUCCCAUGUUUUUUUCCCAGAAACAGCUGAACGAUCAUUACUAAGAAUUCUCUGAUGGCUCUUUUGCAUAAUCUAUUGAUCAUGCACUUAGCUUUUCUUGUUUCGUAUGAAAAUUUCAUAGGAAAUUUCCCUGUGGACUUCUCUAUAUCAUUAUCAACUUUCUCAGCUCAUAAAUUCUCAUAGCCUCCUCUUCCAUUCUUGAACUUGCUUCAACAGUUUUCAGUUGUUCUAUGAUGGCAGGGAAUCAGAAACUAUGCUUUUUUCUUCUGUUCUUUUUUCAUCACUGCUCAAAUUUCUCUACCUCUUCAGCAGAAGCAUCCAAUGCCAAUCACCAAUUACCUAAAAGAUUUUUUGAUAUAACAGCACCUGGGUCAGCACCUGCGCCAACUCCCGAUGUACCGAAACCAGCACCUGGGUCAGCACCUGCGCCGACUCCCGAUGUACCAAAACCAGCACCUCACUCAGCGCCUGCACCAUCUCCGAAUACAACGAACGUUCACCCACCGCCGCCGCCACCUCCACC
rnacentral:lncRNA from 1 species